rnacentral:pre_miRNA from 1 species
AGCCAGGGAAGAGGCAGUGCAUGGAAAGAGCAACAACAAUAUUUGUGUUGAUUGGUUCAUUCCAUGCUCUGCCUCAUCCUUGUCUGU